rnacentral:tRNA from 1 species
CUUUUAAAGGAUAAAAGCUAAUCCAUUGGUCUUAGGAGCCA